UUGAACGCUGGCGGCAUGCCUUACACAUGCAAGUCGAACGGUAGAGGGGCAACCCUUGAGAGUGGCGAACGGGUGAGUAAUGCAUCGGAACGUGCCCAGUCGUGGGGGAUAACGCAGCGAAAGCUGUGCUAAUACCGCAUGUGAUCUGUGGAUGAAAGCAGGGGACCGCAAGGCCUUGUGCGAUUGGAGCGGCCGAUGUCAGAUUAGCUAGUUGGUAGGGUAAAAGCCCACCAAGCCGACGAUCUGUAGCUG
rnacentral:rRNA from 1 species